UGCACGGUGGCGCAGUUGGUAGCUCUGUUGCUUUGCAGCAAGAAGGUCCUGGGUUCAAUUCCCGGCGGGGGUCUUUCUGCAU